CCCUUGAAAAUCCGGAGGA
rnacentral:snRNA from 1 species